GAUUGCAUUGCAUGAACUAACGAAUACGAUCAUACUAUCCAUCAGAACUCUGCAUCUAAGAGUUCUUGGGCGAGAGUAGUACUAAUAUGGAUGACCUCUCGGGAAGUCGUCCUGUUCCAUUCC
rfam:Arabidopsis thaliana chromosome 5, complete sequence.